CUACGGGCGGCAGCAGUGGGGAAUAUUGCACAAUGGACGAAAGUCUGAUGCAGCAACGCCGCGUGGAGGAUGACACAUUUCGGUGCGUAAACUCCUUUUAUAUAGGAAGAUAAUGACGGUACUAUAUGAAUAAGCGCCGGCUAACUCCGUGCCAGCAGCCGCGGUAAUACGGAGGGCGCAAGCGUUACUCGGAAUCACUGGGCGUAAAGAGCGUGUAGGCGGAUAGAUAAGUCAGGAGUGAAAUCCUAUGGCUCAACCAUAGAACUGCUCUUGAAACUGUCUAUCUAGAAUAUGGGAGAGGUAGAUGGAAUUUCUGGUGUAGGGGUAAAAUCCGUAGAGAUCAGAAGGAAUACCGAUUGCGAAGGCGAUCUACUGGAACAUUAUUGACGCUGAGACGUGAAAGCGUGGGGAGCAAACAGGAUUAGAUACCCGGGUAGUC
rnacentral:rRNA from 1 species